CCAAUAGCGUAUAUUAAAGUUGUUGCAGUUAAAAAGCUCGUAGUUGAACUUCGGGAUCAAUUAGUUGGUCAUGCCUUGGUAUGUACUGAUUUUAUUGGUUCUCACCUUCUAAAGAACUAUAAUGUCAUUUAUUUGAUGUUAUAGGGAAUUAGGACUGUUACCUUGAAAAAAUUAGAGUGUUUAAAGCAGGCUCACGCUUGAAUACAUUAGCAUGGAAUAAUGAAAUAGGACAUCGCAUUCUAUUUUGUUGGUUUCUAGGAUCGAGGUAAUGAUUAAUAGGG
rnacentral:rRNA from 1 species